rnacentral:rRNA from 1 species
UACGUAGGUGGCAAGCGUUGUCCGGAUUUAUUGGGUUUAAAGGGUGCGUAGGUGGUGGGGUAAGUCGGAUGUGAAAUCCCGGGGCUCAACCCCGGAACUGCAUUCGAUACUGCCUUGCUCGAGUACUGGAGAGGAGACUGGAAUUUACGGUGUAGCAGUGAAAUGCGUAGAUAUCGUAAGGAAGACCAGUGGCGAAGGCGAGUCUCUGGACAGUUACUGACACUGAGGCACGAAGGCCAGGGGAGCAAACGGG